rnacentral:rRNA from 1 species
GGAAUAUUGGACAAUGGGCGCAAGCCUGAUCCAGCCAUGCCGCGUGCAGGAUGACGGUCCUAUGGAUUGUAAACUGCUUUUAUACAGGAAGAAACACUGGUUCGUGAACCAGCUUGACGGUACUGUAAGAAUAAGGAUCGGCUAACUCCGUGCCAGCAGCCGCGGUAAUACGGAGGAUCCAAGCGUUAUCCGGAAUCAUUGGGUUUAAAGGGUCCGUAGGCGGUUUAAUAAGUCAGUGGUGAAAGCCCAUCGCUCAACGGUGGAACGGCCAUUGAUACUGUUAGACUUGAAUUAUUAGGAAGUAACUAGAAUAUGUAGUGUAGCGGUGAAAUGCUUAGAGAUUACAUGGAAUACCAAUUGCGAAGGCAGGUUACUACUAAUUGAUUGACGCUGAUGGACGAAAGCGUGGGUAGCGAACAGGAUUAGAUACCCUAG